UAGGGAAUCUUCCGCAAUGGACGCAAGUCUGACGGAGCAACGCCGCGUGAGUGAAGAAGGAUUUCGGUUCGUAAAACUCUGUUGUUAGAGAAGAACAGCGCAUAGAGUAACUGUUAUGCGUGUGACGGUAUCUAACCAGAAAGCCACGGCUAACUACGUGCCAGCAGCCGCGGUAAUACGUAGGUGGCAAGCGUUGUCCGGAUUUAUUGGGCGUAAAGCGAGCGCAGGCGGUCAAUUAAGUCUGAUGUGAAAGCCCCCGGCUCAACCGGGGAGGGUCAUUGGAAACUGGUUGACUUGAGUGCAGAAGAGGAGAGGGGAAUUCCAUGGGUGACGGUAAAAUGCGUAAAUAUAUGGAGGAACACCAGUGGGGAAGGCGACUCUCUGGUCUGUAACUGACGCUGAGGUUCGAAAGCGUGGGUAGCAAACAGG
rnacentral:rRNA from 1 species